AUCCAGCCACAUUUUAUAUUAUCAGUUAAUCAGAAGUGUGAAAUACACUGUGACAGGCUUACAGCACUUUAUCAGACUUCUAUCAUUUUUCUGGUUAAAUGGCAGCUGAACUAGUUAACGUGAAUGAGUUCCAAAUUAUGGCUAAGCAAGUCCUGCCAAAAAUGUACUAUGACUUCUAUGCUGGAGGAGCAGAGGACCAGUAUACCCUGAAAGAGAAUGUGGAAGCUUUUCAAAAAAUCUUGUUUCGGCCUAGAGUUCUUAUGGAUGUUAGCAGAAUAGAAUUGUCCACUACUGUAUUCGGUCACGCUAUCUCAGCACCUAUAAUGAUAGCUCCAACCUCUAUGCAUAAGCUUGCACACCCUGAAGGAGAAAUUGCUACUGCAAGAGCAGCAGCUGCAUGUAACACCAUAAUGGUUUUAUCCGUCUCCGCC
rnacentral:misc_RNA from 1 species